UACGAAGGGGGCUAGCGUUGCUCGGAAUUACUGGGCGUAAAGCGAGUGUAGGCGGUGUGGUAAGUCGGAUGUGAAAGCCCCGGGCUCAACCCGGGAAGUGCACUCGAUACUGCCACGCUAGAGUAUCGGAGAGGUUGGUGGAAUUCUCGGUGUAGAGGUGAAAUUCGUAGAUAUCGAGAGGAACACCGGUGGCGAAGGCGGCCAACUGGACGAAUACUGACGCUGAGACUCGAAAGCGUGGGGAGCAAACAGG
rnacentral:rRNA from 1 species